GAUGAACGCUGGCGGCGUGCCUAAUACAUGCAAGUCGAGCGAACUUUUGGGAGCUUGCUCCCAAAAGUUAGCGGCGGACGGGUGAGUAACACGUGGGUAACCUUCCUGUAAGACUGGGAUAACUUCGGGAAACCGGAGAUAAUACCGGAUAACAUUGAAGGCCACAGGGCCAUCAAUUAAAAGGUGGCUUUUAGCUACGACUUACAGAUGGACGCGCGGCGCAUUUGCUAGUUGGUAAGGUAACGGCUCACCAAGGCGACGAUGCGUAGCCGACCGGAGAGGGUGGUCGGCCACCCUGGGACUGGGACACGGCCCAGACCCCUACGGGGGGCAGCAGUAGGGAAUCUUCCGCAAUGGACGAAAGUCUGACGGCGCAACGCCGCGGGAUCGAAGAAGGCCUUCGGGUCGUAAAGCUCUGUUGUUAGGGAAGAACAAGUAGCGUUCGAAUAGGGCGGUACCUUGACGGUACCUAACCAGAAAGCCACGGCUAACUACGUG
rnacentral:rRNA from 1 species